UCUCUGCGUGCACUGGUGUGUUUCCUAAACACAGUGUGUCACAUCAAGUUUGAAGGAAGCAACACUAACAAGUGGUAUCAGAGCAGUCACUCGAUACACUGAGUGUGAUCCUCGUUGUUAUCAGAACAGUUGCUUCAACAUGGAGUCCAACAAUCUCGGAUUUAUGCGACCACCAAUUCUGGAUGGUGCAAAUUGCUCUUUCAAGAAGUACAAAUGCAGGGGGAGAACAUCCAUUUCGGGGGAGAUUUAAAGGCUUAUUGGUUUUGUGAAGAAAGGCAAAAAUGGGGAGUUUGUUGGAGUUAAUUUUUAACUCCAGUAUUAUUUUGUUUUGCCUUUCAUCACGUUUUUGCAGGCCUUAAAACAAAGUCAAAAUCAGUUCCUACAAGAUAGGAAACAUGGAGAAAGGAAGAGAAGGGGUUGAGGGAGUUAGUUCCUAAAAUCAUGGAUAAAACCCUAAACUACCUCAACCUCCACUACUCCACUUCUUGCAACCACGUUUUCAGCCUUGAAGAGCAAGAUUGGAGUUGUCUAUAAAAGCUGAGGAAGUUCCCUCAGUCUGUCUAGAGCUUACAGAGAGAAAUCAGGC
rnacentral:lncRNA from 1 species